AAGGGGACCUCGAGUGCCAGGUUACAAAUCUGGCUGUCGUGAUGCCUAAAAAGCAUUGCAUAGCAAGGGCCGGGCAAGACCGGUGCCAGCCGCCGCGGUAACACCGGCGGCUCGAGUGGUAACCGUUAUUAUUGGGUCUAAAGGGUCUGUAGCCGGCCGGAUAAGUCUCUUGAGAAAUCCAGCAGCUCAACUGUUGGGCUUUCAGGAGAUACUGUUCGGCUCGAGGCCGGGAGAGGUGAGAGGUACUUCAGGGGUAGGGGUGAAAUCUUGUAAUCCUUGAAGGACCACCAGUGGCGAAGGCGUCUCACCAGAACGGACCUGACGGCAAGGGACGAAAGCUAGGGGCACGAACCGGAUUAGAUACCCGGGUAGUCCUAGCCGUAAACGAUACUCGCUAGGUGUCGGCCACGGUGCGACCGUUGUCGGUGCCGUAGGGAAGCCGUGAAGCGAGCCACCUGGGAAGUACGGCCGCAAGGCUGAAACUUAAAGGAAUUGGCGGGGGAGCACCACAACGGGUGGAG
rnacentral:rRNA from 1 species